UACGAAGGGGGCUAGCGUUGCUCGGAAUUACUGGGCGUAAAGCGCACGUAGGCGGCUUCUUAAGUCGGAGGUGAAAUCCUGGAGCUCAACUCCAGAACUGCCUUCGAUACUGGGAAGCUUGAGUUCGGGAGAGGUGAGUGGAACUGCGAAUGUAGAGGUGAAAUUCGUAGAUAUUCGCAAGAACACCAGUGGCGAAGGCGGCUCACUGGCCCGAUACUGACGCUGAGGAGCGAAAGCGUGGGGAGCGAACAGG
rnacentral:rRNA from 1 species